CGCAUGUCAAAGGGACCCAGGGUCCAUACGGUUUCCAGCUGCAUUCAACAGUUUACACCCAGCUUGAGGUGAGCUCUUUUUCAUGGUUACUUGACAAAAGUGUAGUUUACCAUUGAAAACUUUUAAAUGCAGUUUAACUUAUAAUGGCUUGUUUAAUUUCAUAUAGGAAUCCUGCAGCACAACGGUGGUCAACGCCAUGGGGGCAAUGGACAUAGCAGAGAGGCCUAGCAUGCUGAGCCUGCUUGUUGAUGGAGAUGUGGAGCACCUGAUACCAGCAUCACUCUGGCUCUCAUUGUAUAGAUCAAUGAAAAAACUGCCUUUCAUGGUGGAAAUAUCGGUAAAGGGAGGAGUGGUUGUGGAGGCGAGGGUGGUAGAGCAGAAGAGAGAGG